rnacentral:rRNA from 1 species
UACGGAGGGGGCUAGCGUUGUUCGGAAUUACUGGGCGUAAAGCGCACGUAGGCGGACCGGAAAGUCAGAGGUGAAAUCCCAGGGCUCAACCUUGGAACGGCCUUUGAAACUCCUGGUCUUGAGUUCGAGAGAGGUGAGUGGAAUUCCCGGUGUAGUGGUGAUAUGCGUAGAUAUCGGGAGGAACACCAGUGGCGAAGGCGGCUCUCUGGGCCUUUCCUGACGCUGAGACGCGAAAGCGUGGGGAGCGAACCGG